GUGAAACUGAGCGGCUUCAUGGCCCUUACCAUGUACACCAUAAGCACGGUAUCUUCCCUUAGCAAGGGAAAUAUCAAGGGCUAACAGCAUUUGAAGUAAGUCUAGUGUAAUUUAAAUGUAGUAUUGUAUGAAGCAUGACAAUAAGAUCAACUGAGUAAAAACUAGAAGAGCUAAACUCUGGACAAAUUUAUGAAUGCACUGCACAAAUUAAUAUGUAUUUUUGCAAAGUAUUCAGGAGAAGAGAAAUAUGUUUCUUCUAAGAGGAUGUAGGUGGGGCUAAUACAGUGUACCAAAGAGAUUAAAAAAAAAAAAACCUGUUGAUGCUGUGUUCUUGUUGUGUUUGAAGUAGUAAUUAGAGUCUGGCGUCAAGUUUGAAUGAUAACUAUUACUUUCUUCACACAGGUUUUCUAAGCUUGAGAGACCAGUUUUCAAAAGCUCUCUAGCAAAGCUAUUAUGUUACCAGUAUUACUCCAUCAGAAGAAACUGUUAAAGGAUGAUCAGAAAAACUGAGGGCUUAUUAAAAAACAACUUUUGGACUGAAAAGAAAGCACUUUUACCAGAACAGAUGUUUGGAUUCCUUUUACUCCAAACUCCCAUAGCACUGUGUCCCAGAUGGCUUAAUACUGAAAAGGAUUCCAGUUAAAACCAGUAUUCUGUAGGAAGAAAGAAAGAAGCCUGUACGGCGUAUCUCUCUUCCAACAUAGACAAUGGUUUGUUUGGUUUGGAGCACUGCAUUUUCCAAGGCAUUUUGUUCAGUACAAUGAAUCUUGAAGACAAGUAGUAUGUCCUCUCUACCUUCAGGUAAUGAAAUUAAGAAAAACAAAACAGGAAAAUAGAAAAAUGUUGGUUAUUACAUAUAUUUUUUUUAAAGUUCUCUUUCUAAUAAAUUCUUGAAUCGAGGCA